CAGCACAUCCCAUAGAGUAAGCAACAGCUGGGUGGAGAUUACUUGGAUCAUCAGAGUGAGGACAGCGAGCUGAACCGGUUUCUGUGGCUCGAUCCCAGACAGAAAUUGUUUAUAUGACAGACUUAUAUAUCUAACUGCCAACUGUGGAAACACUGCACACAGCUACUUAAAAGGGUACAGAAAGCACUGGGUCUGGGGGCUGCACCAAUACUACUGUAAGGAAGCUAAGCUGGAAAUGAGGUGGCACCUGCAUGGACAGCAACUGCAAAGAACAUCUCAAGUCUAAAAGGAUGAUCUUUCUGGAGUAAUUUUGAAGAAAUCAAUGACUCCAGACUACUCAUCAGAAGCCAUCCUGAAGUAUGCCCACAGGCUGUUCAUGCUUGUAAAGUAAUCAGUAAGACUCCCUGUGACUCGAGUGUUUGCUUGCCAUGGGUAUCCACUGGUUGCCUUGUCUACCCCAUGAACAAACCAUCAGAUUUCCAGUAUCUCCCUGCGGAAGAACCGUGGAUAAGCAC